rnacentral:rRNA from 1 species
AGUCGUAACAAGGUUUCCGUAGGUGAACCUGCGGAAGGAUCAUUACAAAUUAGCGCUGCGGCCUCCGGGUCGCUGCCUAAACCCCUUGUCUAUGAGUACUCGUUGUUCCCUCGGCGCACCUGGUGCGCCGGCUGGAACCACCUAAACCCUUGCAUCUAAGCAUUAAAUAUCUGAUAACAAACCAAUCUAUUACAACUUUCAACAAUGGAUCUCUUGGUUCUGGCGUCGAUGAAGAACGCAGCGAAAUGCGAAACGUAGUGUGAAUUGCAGAAUUCCGUGAAUCAUCGAAUCUUUGAACGCACAUUGCACUCCCUGGUAUUCCGGGGAGUAUGCCUGUUCGAGCGUCAUUGGAAACCUCAAGCUCUGCUUGGUGUUGGGCGUCUGUCCCCUCUUCGGGGGGGACUCGCCCCAAAGUCAUUGGCAGCGGUCGUGCCAGCUUCUCGCGCAGCACAUUUGCGCUUCUCGAAGUCCUGGUGGACACGCGUCCAGCAAGCUCUCUUUAUGACUUGACCUCGGAUCAGGNUNGGGAUACCCGCU